rnacentral:tRNA from 1 species
GCGGCUAUAGCUCAGCUGGUAGAGUACCUGCUUCCCAAGCAGGGUGUCGCGGGUUCAAAUCCCGUUAGCCGCU